rnacentral:misc_RNA from 1 species
GGAAGUAAAAGCGUAACAAGGUCUCCGUUGGUGAACCAGCGGAGGGAUCAUUAUCGAGUUUAUAACUCCCAAACCCUAUGUGAACUUACCACUUGUUGCUUCGGCGCGCGCUUCGGCGCCGCCGAGGACACUUAAACUCUUUGUUUUUAUAAGCAUUUCUGAGUGGCCGAAAGGCAAAAUACAAAUGAAUCAAAACUUUCAACAACGGAUCUCUUGGUUCUG